UUUGAGAGAGAGUUCAAGAGUGCGUGAAACUGCUCGGAGGUAAACGGGUGGGCCCUCGAACGGUCCUCGCCWGGUGGUUCGGUCGGAGAGGAGCGAGUAAGUUGGCGGAGAGAAGAGUUCUGUUAAGGACGUCUGCGCCUUCBUUGUGCUCGAGACUCCCGGUGCAUUCCAUCCGGUAAGGACGUCGCAGCCGGUUGGGCGUGGUCAGCCUAAAAAGCGGGCAAUGGCAGGUGGCAGCGGAAUCCCUCCGCUGUGUCUAGUCGGCCCGUUCGUGGCGUGAUCCCCGACCGAGGACGAGAUCUCCUCUGUUGGAGACUUGCCGUGCUCUGGCCUUAGCUAGCGGGAUUACCCGCGGUGAGCGUACGCAGCUGGCGACAUACAUCGGUCGCCCACCCGACCCGUCUUGAAACACGGACCAAGGAGUCUAACAUGUGCGCGAGUCAGUGGAACUCGAACAAGCCCACGGGCAGAACGAAAGUGAACGAUGUCGGGAUCCUCGCAGUCGAGGCGCACCGACGGCCUGACGCCUUUCAUAGGCGUCGGAGCAAGAGCGUACACGUUGGGACCCGAAAGACGGUGAACUAUUCCUGGGCAGGAUGAAGCCGGGGGAAACUCCGGUGGAGGUCCGCAGCGGUUCUGACGUGCAAUUCGAUCGUCAAACCCGGG
rnacentral:rRNA from 1 species